GUUGGCACGCAGAGGACGAAGCCUGGUAUUGCUGGGAUAGACACUCUGCGAGUGCUCACUGUUGAAGCACACGAUGGCCGACGGGACACAGAAGGCUGCCAGCUCAGGAGAGCCAGGGUGAGAGCAAAGGAUCCCUGCAUGCAGCCCCCCACUGCAGGGCAGAGGGGUGUUGGGGGUCUGCCAGCAGUGGAGAGGGGAGUUGGGGGCACACAAGGGCUCCCCAUCUGCUGCGGGCAGGACUUGGCCAGGGGAGCCACAGUUGGGCUUUGGCUGCCUGCUGGCACCGCUGGGCCUGCUGUGCCCCAUCCCUGCAAGUUGCUCACUGCUGUUACUCUCUCCAGCAUGUGUGUUCUGUGGCCGGGUGGACGUGGACCUCGGCAUCACUGGGAACAAAUACGUGAUGAAGGGGAUCUAUUUCCAUACUUUUUGUGUGACAUUUUUCCUCUGUCCUUUACAACGAGGAAGAGAUGGAAAUGCACAUCUCUGUAGUCAAGACCUCAUUCGCACGAUGAAGCAGGCAGAGCAGAGGGUGAGCACUGGACCGGAACAGGGAGCUUGGUGCCAGGAGAGCUCAGCCUGGUCCCCACAAAGCAAUCCCAGCCCCUCCCAGCUCCAGAGAAAUCCCUGCUCUUGCAGACCAGCCCUGUCACCAGGCAGCUCUGCA
rnacentral:lncRNA from 1 species